CUCCUAAUUUCCUCUGAAACAAUCCUUUUUCCCCCUCCAAGUCCACGAUGGUGGUACACAAGGAUAUGAGAUUCCUCUCUGUGCCAGACUGGAUGACUCCAAAUGAGUAGGCCUUCUUAGCUCCAAACCUUCUCUGCAAUUAAAACUUUUUCUCCCUGUAGGUUCAUUGCUCACAAUCUAAGCUUGAGAAAGUACUCACCAUACAUCAAAACUUAGUUUUCUCAUGUGAAAGAUGGAGCGACCAGCAUGUAAUACAAACUCAAACAAGUCCUUGAAAAUGGGAAGAUUAAACUGAAAUACAUCGAGGGAAGAGUGAAGAGAAAAUGUUAAGAAUCCUGCUUGUAUCAGCUUCCUCAGCUUGUUGCAUGAAAUGUUUAAGAGAAGCUGAAGACACCUUAGCAACACAGAAGCACAUGUUUCAGCUCCUCAAUCACAUCUACCAGUUGACCUUCCCCUGCAACCUGCCAUACUGCAUCCUAUCUUGAACUACUAUUGCACAGCUUGAAAGGAUUUACAUAUGAAAGAAGAUACUGUGUAUUUAGCUGGUAGAAAGCCAGGUAUUCAGUUAGAAACAAUAAAAGUAUUGAA